rnacentral:misc_RNA from 1 species
AACGCACAUUGCGCCCUUUGGUAUUCCGAAGGGCAUACCCGUUCGAGCGCCGUUUUCAGACUUAAGGCAUUGUUGCCUUGUGUUGGCAAUAUUCAAGUUUCUAAAACUUGAAUUUGUUCAAACGUAUUUUGGCGUACAGUCGCUGGAGAUUGCAGCAAAAUGUAACUCCAUGACUCUGACUGAGAAUCGUCAACAAUACCUCAGAAACGUUUGGCCUCGAAUCGGGUAAGAUUACCCGCUGAACUUAA